rnacentral:rRNA from 1 species
AUGCAGUUAGUGAUGAGUGGUCGGACGACUGUGAACAUAAAUGGGGAGAUCGGGCCCUACUUCAUGACUGGGCAAGGAGUACGGCAAGGAGAUCCGAUCUCCCCAUUUCUUUUCAACCUUGUGGUCGACGCCCUGGCUUCGAUCCUAGAUUUGGCCAAACGCGCCGGCCACAUUAGGGGGAUUUGCCCCCAUCUUGUGGUCAAUGGAGGUCUGACCCACCUCCAAUAUGCAGAUGACUCCAUUAUGAUGGUGGAAGGAUCGGACGAGGACAUUCAGAACCUCAAGUUCCUCCUCCUCUGCUUUUAG